rnacentral:rRNA from 1 species
AUUGAACGCUGGCGGCAUGCCUUACACAUGCAAGUCGAACGGCAGCACGGGAGCAAUCCUGGUGGCGAGUGGCGAACGGGUGAGUAAUAUAUCGGAACGUGCCCAGUCGUGGGGGAUAACGCAGCGAAAGCUGUGCUAAUACCGCAUACGAUCUAUGGAUUAAAGCGGGGGACCGCAAGGCCCCGCGCGAUUGGAGCGGCCGGUAUCAGAUUAGCUAGUUGGUGGGGUAAAGGCCCACCAAGGCGACGAUCUGUAGCUGGUCUGAGCGGCAGACCAGCCACACUGGAACUGAGACACGGUCCAGACUCCUACGGGAGGCAGCAGUGGGGAAUUUUGGACAAUGGGCGCAAGCCUGAUCCAGCAAUGCCGCGUGCAGGAUGAAGGCCUUCGGGUUGUAAACUGCUUUUGUACGGAACGAAACGGUGAGCUUUAAUACAGUUUGCUAAUGACGGUACCGUAAGAAUAAGCACCGGCUAACUGCGUGCCAGCAGCCGCCGUAA